GGGGUUGUAGCUCAGUGGUAGAGCGCUUGCCUAGCAUGUAUGAAGCACUGGGUUUGAUCCUCAGCACCACA
rnacentral:tRNA from 1 species